rnacentral:lncRNA from 1 species
UUUUUUUUUUUUGUGAUUUUUCUUCCCUAUUCUAGAAGCGAGUCAACAUGUAUGUCGAAAUAAAUAAAUGCACAAGUAGCAAAUAAAAUGCAUCAGGAUGGUCCUUUAAUUUUGGGUACACCUAUCCUAGACGGACCCAACCCCCGUGUUGAGUCCCCUAAAUCAAAUGCACGUGAUGCAAGCAAAGGUACCUACUAGGGAUCCGGCAUGAGGCUGUAUUAUUCUAAGUUUAAAUCCUGGGUGUAUUGUACUAUGCCACGGGAACCGUACCCUAGUCACGUUAUUUUAUUAUUAAUCGCGCCUAAAGCAAGCUACGAUGUUCAUGAAUUGUUCAUUCUCUAGGUUUCAGUUUAUUGUGAAGGUCAUAUGUUAUGGAAUUAUUUGUGAUCAAUCCUUUAGAUUAUUCUUCAAUAUGUCUACUGGAUAAAUAAAACAUUUGGUUCAUUUCUUAAACUCCAAUUUAUAAAAAUUCACCGUUCCCCUCCAAGAUGUUCCAACAGGUUUAUCAAAUAAGCCUACUAGAAUUCAACAAAAGGAAAUAAUAAUUGAUAUAGGGUUCUGCAUUCAUCCCUACGGCAUGACUUAUAAUUCCAAAAUCAAUAAUGUCCAAGUAGAACUCCUAAGGACUACUAAUCCCAUUUCAGUUUAGCAUGCUAGAAUUUGGAAUCAGAUUUAACAAGCUAAUUUAACGAAAGUUAAGGAAAAUAACUACACUAAUUCACCUCAAUUAAACAAAACAGACCGUGUCAAUUAAUCAUCCAAAGAGACCAAUUAAAGUAAGAAUCGCAAGCAAACACAGAACAUUCAAGUAAGGUAAAUCUAGAUUAAGUGAAGAGCAAAGGAAAGAAUGGACCUUAAAUAGAGCCAAAAUACUCUUUCAAAUUUGAUUAAUACUAAACCGAUCCCAUCUGAUUACAGCAGAGUUGAACUCCGACCUUCAAACUUAACCCAAAAAUAGACUGCGGCAGGCACCUUAGACCGAAAAAUUUCGAUGGCAACCUCGACUGAAUUUUCAACAGAACUCUAAAACAAACUCGAAAUGGCAAUCAAAUUCGGACGGAAUCACGAACCGAGCCGCAAACGGACUCAAUUUAGCUGAAGAUAAAUAGGAGCUCUAAUAUGCUUUACAAGUGAAAAGAUGCGCUGAUUUUGCGAGGAAGAAGACGACGACCCCAACUCCUUUUUCUUUUC